CCUACGGGAGGCAGCAGUGGGGAAUUUUGCGCAAUGCUCGUAAGAGUGACGCAGCGACGCCGCGUGAAUGACGAAGGCCUUCGGGUCGUAAAGUUCUUUCGACAGGGAAGAAAAUGCCUAUAAGUAACUGUGUAUGUAUUGACGGUACCUGUAUAAGCAGCCCCGGCUAACUCCGUGCCAGCAGCCGGGGUAAUACGGAGGGGGCGAGCGUUGUUCGGAGGGACUGGGCGUAAAUAGCACGUAGGCGGUGUUGUAAGUCAUUAGUCAAAGACUAGAGCUCAACUUUAGUAAGGCUAGUGAUACUAUAAUACUAGAGUAUCAGAGAGGAGUGCAGAAUUCCUGGUGUAGCGGUGAAAUGCGUAGAUAUCAGGAGGAAUACCGUUAGCGAAGGCGGCAAUCUGGCUGGAAACUGACGCUGAGGUGCGAAAGCGUGGGUAGCAAACAGGAUUAGAUACCCGUGUAGUC
rnacentral:rRNA from 1 species